UACAGAGGGUGCGAGCGUUAAUCGGAAUUACUGGGCGUAAAGCGCGCGUAGGCGGCUUUGCAAGUCGGGUGUGAAAUCCCCGGGCUUAACCUGGGAAUGGCAUUUGGGACUGCAAGGCUGGAGUUUGGCAGAGGAGACUGGAAUUCCUGGUGUAGCAGUGAAAUGCGUAGAUAUCAGGAGGAACACCGAUGGCGAAGGCAGGUCUCUGGGCUGAAACUGACGCUCAUGCACGAAAGCGUGGGGAGCAAACAGG
rnacentral:rRNA from 1 species